CUGAGCUUUUGAACAAGUGAGGCUUUGUAAGUGCCGUGAAAAUAUGGUCCUAACUAUAAAGAAAAUAAUCAGGAAACGAAAAACCUGCACUCACUUUAAAUUAUUUUUGAAACCAUUUGCAGGAUGAAAGUUGUUUUUUUUUUGUAAUGAUUUGGCCGUAGAUUUUCAAGCAGAUUGCCAAGAAAAGCAACCCGUCAGAAUGUGAAGCAGUGCAUGGAAAUUUGAUUCAUCUAUGUGUUGGGGAGACGUUCCUGUUUGUGACAGUAAUGGUUUUCAUCCAGCAGGGCCAACCCAUGGUUAUUUUGACCAUGAGUGGAGUUAGACAUAGAUGCCCCCAGCAUGGAUUUUGGACGCCACUGUCUACUAAAAAAAGGAAAGGCUUGAUCAAGGAGUGAAAUGAUCAUCCAAAGUAGACGAGGGACUGGACAUUCAGAGGUAAUUCCAAAGGACCCUGCCCUCCGGAUCUGCGGUAUCCAGUUUCAUCUCUUGCUGCAUGCCUCGUUACCUAUCAGCAAAAACAUGAACAUCAACUUCUGAUGACAGCAGGCUAAAAUUGGUGGCUAUCAAAACCCAGGAACUGGCAAGGAGCUUCACUGGGGUGUCCGCUUUCCAGAGUGGAAGCCCUGUGUUCAGACACCUCAGGGUGAAGGGGCUGUGCACACUCCUCACUCUCACAGCGGGUAAUGGGGAUGGCAUAAACACAGCUUAGGGUCUAUUAGGCAAAAACUUUCACACUAUUAAUUAGAUGCAGCUGCACACGCUCCUCACAUCUCAGCCAUAUACACUGGUUGGUGAGUGAAGGCUGAAAUGUGUACCGUAAACCAUACAUAAGUUCCCCAACAGCUUUAGUACGGUAACACGAUUCAAGGUGUGUUUACUAUCAAUGCAUAAUCGACCACUGUCACAUUCCCCUACAGUUACAGCGAUACAUUCAACUUUAAAAAGAGAAAUGCUAAAUCAGCACUUUUGGUUAUGGUAUUUUGCAGGUCAUAAGACAUCAAGGUGUCUGGUAAUACUGGACUAAAUGACCCGUAUUGCAGAUGUAUCAGAUUCUGUCAGCUGAAAAAGUAACAAGUGAUGGCAGCACAGGAAUCACACAGAAGCUUUGAUUCAAACUCAAGAAGUCCUCGUUCAGUUAAAAGCAAGGUCACAAUUCUGUGUUAAAAAAAAUAAUGUACAGUAAUUACUCUCAAAGUUAUGGUUAUUCAAUACAUUUAUUAAAAUAAUAAUUGUUGUUUUUUGUAUAUCAAAUACCUGUAAAUAAGAAGGGUCCUGGUUAAAAUACAAGGAAUUAUUAGCUAGAUGUAAACAAUCUGUUUGGACCUGCUCCACAUUCAAACAUAGUCAUAAUUAAGUAUGCUGAAACAACAAAUUGCAUGUAACCUUUCUAAAAAUUCAUUGUUGCCCACGUUAAUCUGGGGAUGAGUCUUAUCGAUUCAAAUAACAAAACAAAAUAGUGUUUAUAAAAAAUAAAAU